AUUGAACGCUGGCGGCAUGCCUUACACAUGCAAGUCGAACGGCAGCACGGGAGCAAUCCUGGUGGCGAGUGGCGAACGGGUGAGUAAUAUAUCGGAACGUGCCCAGUCGUGGGGAUAACGCAGCGAAAGCUGUGCUAAUACCGCAUACGAUCUACGGAUGAAAGCGGGGGAUCGCAAGACCUCGCGCGAUUGGAGCGGCCGAUAUCGGAUUAGCUAGUUGGUGAGGUAAAGGCUCACCAAGGCGACGAUCUGUAGCUGGUCUGAGAGGACGACCAGCCACACGGGAACUGAGACACGGUCCAGACUCCUACGGGAGGCAGCAGUGGGGAAUUUUGGACAAUGGGCGAAAGCCUGAUCCAGCAAUGCCGCGUGCAGGAUGAAGGCCUUCGGGUUGUAAACUGCUUUUGUACGGAACGAAACGGUGAGCUCUAAUACAGUUUGCUAAUGACGGUACCGUAAGAAUAAGCACCGGCUAACUACGUGCCAGCCGCCGCGGUAA
rnacentral:rRNA from 1 species